rnacentral:rRNA from 1 species
CCUACGGGAGGCAGCAGUGAGGAAUAUUGGUCAAUGUGCGCUAGCCUGAACCAGCCAAGUCGCGUGAAGGAUGACUGCCCUAUGGGUUGUAAACUUCUUUUAUAUGGGAAUAAAGUGCAGUAUGUAUACUUCUUUGCAUGUAACUUAUGAAUAAGGAUCGGCUAACUCCGUUCCCGCAGCCGCGGUAAUACGGAGGAUCCGAGCGUUUUCCGGAUUUAUUGGGUUUAAAGGGAGCGUAGGCGGGUUGUUAAAUCAGUUGUGAAAGUUUGCGGCUCAAACGUAAAAUUGCAGUUGAUACUGGCUGCCGUGAGUACAGUAGAGGUAGGCGGAAUGCGUGGUGUAGCGGUGAAAUGCUGAGAUAUCACGAAGAACUCCGAGUGCGAAGGCAGCCUGCUGGACUGUAACUGACGCUGAUGCUCGAAAGCGUGGGGAGCAAACAGGAUUAGAUACCCGAGUAGUC